UACGCAGGGGGCUAGCGUCGUUCGGAAUUACUGGGCGUAAAGCGCACGGAGGCGGAUUAGUAAGUCAGGGGUGAAAGCCCGGGGCUCAACCUCGGAACUGCCUUUGAUACUGCUGAUCUCGAGUCCGGAAGAGGUGAGUGGAAUUCCUAGUGUAGAGGUGAAAUUCGUAGAUAUUAGGAAGAACUCCAGUGGCGAAGGCGGCUCACUGGUCCGGUACUGACGCUGAGGUGCGAAAGCGUGGGGAGCAAACAGG
rnacentral:rRNA from 1 species